AGACAGCGCAUGUAUUGCCUAUGAUGGGCAUAAUGAGGAAAGCACAAAGCCAAGUUUCACAAAGUCUUGGGCAUCUUCCUGGAGAAGUGUUCACUUGACAUAAACUUUCAAGAAUGGUCAAGCUUUACCCGGAGAAGUAGGAAGGACAAUCAAAUGAGGGGCCAGUGUUUGACAAACAUGAAAGAUUACAUGGUAAUGAGACAGUUUGCUCUUGCUGGAGAAAAGGUAUUGAAUUAUGAAUUAGAUGAAAUUUUAUAUUAUCACUUCUGAGACAUGCAAUGGCAUGCUCUAAAGUGCAUAUUUAAUGAAAUAGUCCUAGGUAAUUUUUCACAUUUGACUUAAAAAGUGCCCCCCUCCAGUGGAACUAUAUCAAUGUUCUAAAAUGGUUGCAGAACAGAGCUUGAGGAAGAGAAGAAGCAUGGAGUGGUGGAAAAAGAAAACACCCAGAUUGAUUUCCUACCCCACUGUGUUGAGAGCUCCUGAGAGCCUGGGCAAGUCAGGUCAAGGGCCUAAGCCUUAAUUCCACUGUUUAUAAAAAUAGCUUGAUAAUCCUGUCCAUCUCUCUGAAUUAACUUCUUCCUUCCUUCCUUUAUUCCUCUCUUUCUCUCUCUCCCUCCCUUCCUUCCUUCCUCCCUUGCUUGCUUCCUACUUUAUUUUGUCACGCUCAUGGCAUGCAGAAGUUCCUGUGCCAAGGAUAAAACCCAUGCCAUAACAGUAAUCAGAGCCACAGCUGUGACACUGUAGUCUCCUUAACCCACUGAGCCAUCAGGGAACUCUCUGAAUUUCUAUACCAUUGCUGUGGAAGUGUUUUCUUUGAGGGGAGGGUGGCACGAGCUGAGUCCUUUUGCAAAGAUGUUGCGUCAUAGUCAUAUUUCUAUCCAAUUAAUCAUUUCUCAACUAGAUAAUUAACAGUAUGAGAUAGCCCUCUAUUCUCUAACUUUAGAAUAACUUUAAUGAAGUCAUUAGCUUUAACUCAUGCUGAACUUUGCUUUAUAGUGGCACUUUUUUCUACCUGUUCAAGAGACCCUGGGCACCAGAAAACAACUUAUUUCCUACCUCUUCUUUAGUUAAAAAUUUUUUUGAUUAUUUGUUUUUGUUCAGGAAUAUACAUGUAUUAAUUCACUCUGCUAGUCAAAUCAUACACACACACACACACAAACACACACACACACACAUAAAUAAACUGAAUUAAUUAGAAGCCUCAAUAUUCUUAUCACAAAAGUGAGGGAAGAUCAGAGUGGCCUGGAUUUGAAGCUAAAUCCUGGAUGGACAGUAGAAUCUAACACAAUCUAAUUAAGAAUAUGUCACUAUCACACUUUUUUAAACUACGAACCACUGUUAUCCCCCCUUAAAGACUCCUUAGAACUGGAGACUCAGAAUUUUACCACUAUCUUGAAUGCCUUAGAUUUCAGUCAACAGUACCAAGGUUGGGUUUCAAAGUACAGUUCUCUUGUUUUGUUGGUUGAUAACUUAGAAAUUUGAAUCAAAUUCUUCGCACAGUCAUAAUGUUUAAACUCAGAGACCACAUAAGAAAAAAUUAAUAGGCUUUUACCUGACUUUGAUCAACAAAAUGUGUAUUAGGCACAGAGAGCAUUAUCAUCAUAUCAAGUGCUGGGAAAAUAGUAAGGAAUCAAACCACAGAGGCCUCUCUUCUGGGAGACAUUGCUGGGGGCUGUGUGGAGGAGGGCACCCGCUGACAGCGGGGAGAUGUCCCCAGUGCUAAGGGAGCAUGAAAUAGGAAGUAAUCUGUUCUGUCUAAGAGGUCACAGAAAGGUCGGCCAGAGGAAGGGAUAUUUGAGCUGCAAUUUAAAGGAUGGAUGGGCCUUAGUUGGAGAGAAAAGGGGUAGGGGGAAGGGAAUUCCAGAGAGAGAGAGAGGCCAUUGCCCAAAGAGCAGAAGCUCUGGGUAAGGGGGAGGAAUAUGAAACAGUCUGAAGAUGUGUUCUAGAAUAUAAAUUUAGAGAGGUCAUCUGUGAUUUUCUUGUUCAGGACUUUGGAUGCCAAGCAUGCACUUUGAGACUUAUUCUCUAGAAAAUAAGAAGAGUAGGUGAGAAAAGCCAGCAGCCAACAAUACCUCUAGGGCAUCCAAGGAAGAAGAGCUGAAACAAGAGUUUCUCUCUGCUCUGCCACAUGAAAUCUUCAUGUGGAGCAUUGGAGAAAAGCAGUGGAAAGGGCAUUACAGUAAACCCCAAGGGUGGGGUUGGCUUGUAUUUAUUUCUUUCCUUGAAUAAGAAAGGAAUGCAGUUGAGGCAGCCUAUGUCAGAGGAGUGAAAUGUGUAAGAUGUUAUGGGAAGUGUAUACCUACCUUUGACCCACCAGAGAAGGUUUUCUGGAAAAGGCAACCCUAAGAGCUAAAUCUGAAAUGAUGAGUAAGAAUAAACAACUUAAUGGAGUUCCCAUCAUGGCUUGACAGAAAUGAAUCCGACUAGAAACCAUGAAGUUUCAGGUUCGAUCCCUGGCCUCACUCAGUGGGUUAAGGAUCCCACGUUGCUGUGAGCUGUGGUGCGGCUUGGAUCUGGUGUUGCUGUGGCUCUGGUGUAGGCCGGAGGCUACAGCUCCGAUUCGACUCCUAGCCUGGGAACCUCCAUAUGCCACGAGUGCGGCCUUAAAAUACAAAAACAAAACAAAACAAACAACAAAAAAAAGAAUUAACCACUUAAAAUCUGUUUGGCCCUGCGCCACACAUAAUUUCUCAGGGUCUCAAUCUCUUUAUCUUUAAAGAGAGGGCAAAGGUCUGAAGUAGUGGUUCUCAACCUCAGUUUUCCAUUAGACUCAGCUAGGGAGAUUUUAAAAUUCCAGUGUCUGGGACUACUAGACUAAUCAAUAUUAAAUCAGUGUCUUUGGGUGGUUUGGGGAGGUGCAGGAUGGGGGACUCACCUGCUUUGGUAGUUUUUUAGAGCUGCCAAGAUUAUUCUAAUGUGCAGCCAGGGUCGAGGCUUCCUGAAGAAGAGGAUCUCUGAGGUCACUUUCAUUUGUGAAGGAGGUGUUUGAGACUAGCCCAGGUAGCAAUAGCUAAAAGCAGAUGCCCUGUUCAUCAAUGUCUUCCACACUGUGAGCACUUCUCAUUCCUGCACCUCAAGCCCAUGUCCUCAUGCUACCCAGGAAGUGCCACUAAGGUGCUUGCUCAUAGCUAGUGGAAGAUUAUUUUUUCCAUUUUCAAAAAAAAAAUAAUAUUUGUGCCUGGCUGGCACAUAACUAUCGGAAAGUGGUCUCUGAUGAGAAGCUAUCUUUUUUGGUUAGUUUCUAAAAAGGGUCUUUCUCAAUCUACCCCCUUCACCCUCCUCAAUUCCAGAUAAAGAACUCUCUUAACUAACCCCUAAUAGUUCUUGCCUAUCCCUGAGCUUUUUUGUGUGUAAAAUUUCCUGACCUCUGUCCCCUUCUACCGGCUACCAAUUAUUCACAUUGUAUCCAAUUUUCCAAAUCCAGAUCACCUCUUACAGUUUUUAUGAAAUCUGCCCAAACUUUGCUCUCUUGAAUUUAUAUCACUAUUUUCUAGUAAUAUUUGCAUAAGUCAUCUAUUUUGUAAUCUGUUAUACUUAAUCAUUACCUUCUCUGUAAGAUCUCUUAUUCUUGUCUAAACUAUUAUUCAAAUAGUCAUCUAUGUUUACUUCCUUUGCAAAGACUUAAAUAGGAAAGAAAAUUAAAGAAGAAAUUCACUAGGAAAAUUAUACAGGAAAUUAAUUAAAUGUAAUAAACAGGUAUAGAGGAUAAAAAAAUCUUUGAUUUGCCAGGCAUUAUAGAAAUGUGAUUUACUAUCCAUUCAUUUAUUUAUUUGUUAGGUAUUUAUCAAGGGCCUACAAAGUUCUAGUUUUAUUUCAGGUGCUGGAGAUUUUGGGGGAAAAAAAUAUUCCUAGAGACAUAGAUAUGUACCACGUGGUAAUAAAUUCAAUAAAAAUCAAAAUCAGUAAAGCCUGGCAAGGCCACAGAUAAGGAUAGAUGGAUAGAUGGGUGGCAGAGAGCCUCUUUGGGCCAUGUGGCUCUCCUGUAUGAUUUAUAUUAUGUUUUUACAUGGGCUUAGACUAGUUCAUUUCCUCACUCUUGGAAAUGGUAAGAAUAUGUUAUUCUUCUUUGGAGAAAAGCUAAAUUGACUUAUGACCAUAGCAAGGUACCAAGAAAGCAAGGCAACUUUAUUGUACUGGCUUUCAAUAGACUAUUCUUACUCCUUAUAUACAUCUGUAACUUUCUCAAUUUGUGUAUAGAAGGAGUUCUUUCACAUUUAUUAGUAUUUUGUUAUAGGUGUUACAUUGAUUCUUGUAGGAGAAGUAACUUUAAUGGCUUAAAAUUUUAAUGAUUUAAAAACAAAAUUUUUAAAUCCUGGCUUGACUUUCCUAGGAUUUUAAAAUUUUCCUUCUUUCUCACACAUAUUUCACAGGGGACAGUACUGGCUAAACAUCACUUUAAAUAAAACAAAUAAAAACUGAAGUCACCCCUUUGCAGGUAUAAUAGGAUGAAAAGUCGAAGGAGGAUAAUUAUUCUCAUAUUUUGAUAAUUUCCAAAGGAAACAGCAGACAGUCUAACAGAGCCGAAAAUGUACAAUAAAAAAUCCUGUCAAGCUCCUUCCACUCACAUGAGCAUAGUAAGGUUUAAAUUUGAUGGAAAGCCACAGGCCAGUUCUCAUAAAAUCAAACCCGGUUCACCAUUUCUGCUGCUGACAGGAAAUGUCAUUGCUAGGAAAUAAGGCAGCAAGAGGCCGUCUCCAAAGCAUCAGCACCUCAGAGACAGAUGAGGAGAAGGGGCCCAAGUGUAAACAGAAAUGACCUGUGACCCAGAAGAAUACGUGUGAUUUCCUAGAGCCUGUUUGUAUCUUUUUUGGCUAGAACGGCCUUGGAACAAUCUCAGGGGAAAGUAUUCUGCUCCUGAAGACAAGGUGGCUUAUUAUCAGACAAGAAACAGUAAUAAAGGGAAGAAAAAGAGUCAGAGGGGUGAUUUCUCAAACUUAGGGGCUCAUAGUAAGUAGACAUGAGACAUUUUUGUACAGUGUGUGCGAUACUGAAACUCACGUUAAAAAGUGUGUGUGUAUAUGAUUUGCACAAGAACAUUUCCAUAGUAUAUGUAAAACACCUUGGGUCUUCUAGCCACAAAACCUGGGUGUAUUUGAGAAGAAAUAUUGCAAUUUCCCUAUGUGGGAGUUUGUGUGUGUGUGUACAGGAUACAUAUGUAUACUCUGUGAGUUUAUAUAAUUCACAUAGGUGCAUAUACAACUAUAAGUUCUAUAAAAUUUUAGAAUAUGUGGGCUGGAAAUUCACCAGUGUGUGUACAUUAUCACAUCUAUAUGAGAGCACAUAUCUGUCUGUGAUCAAUUUGUAUUUCAUGUUCUUACCUAGGGAUUUGUACUUGAGCAAAAAGGGUUAUAGAGUCCAUUAGCUGACCUGAAUUUAUGACAAUAAAUCUCUUGAUGUUCAGCUAUGACAGGAAUUACUCUCCUCUAAUGAGUAAUAAAUGUGAGUAAGUCAUGUGUCCCAUUGGAUUACUCGGCUAAAAUCACAUUUAGAGGAUGACUAAUUGUCUAAAAUUUAUCCAAAUCCAAUACAAAUUUUAUUGCCACUAAUUGCUUUUGCAGAUUUUGGAGCAUUAAGCAUAUUUAAAUGUAUUUAUCAUAGCACUCCUGCACACAUGUAAUGCAUGAGUAGAAUAAUCAAGACUAUCCAAUUUAAGCUUUUCAACUAUUUUGGUAAUUUAACAUUAAAUCAUUAUGACUUGAAAUUUAACUUUCCAUUUUUAGAGCCAUGACAAAUUGUAUUUUUAGAUUAAAUGUUUUUGUCAUGAGUGGCCCAUUCUUAUUGUUUUGCAGUUUUGACAUGACUUAAUUGUAAUAUCAGUGUUAUCGACAAGUAAGAACAUAUUGUAUACCUGUUAGUCUCAUUGUAGCUUUAUUCACAUUGCCAUUAAUUCAGCUAUUUUAGCCAGAGCUACCACACUAUAUAAAUGGCUGUUUCCAAAACUUUUAUAUGUCUCAAAAAUAAUCCCUUAUUUGAACUUGCAUGUAUAAAAGUAGUGUUUGAAGUUUAGUAAACAAAUUUUAAAAUCACAGAAAAUAUAUGUGAGAGAUAACAUAGCUAAAUGUGUAAGGAAAUCUUUAAAAAGAUUUCUCUAGGUAUUUUAAGGUUUUCUUUUAUUAAGCAAGUUCAUAAAAUGAUAUAAUAACAAACAUUAAAAGACUUUUGGAUGAGUUGUUUUUAUAUUGAAAUAUUCUUUUCUUGUGAAAAUGUCCAAGGUAAAAGAUUAGAGUGACAGAUGACAAUAAAGAAGAGAAUAAAAAAUGAAAAGUCUAUAUUUUAUCAACUAAAAGUUCAGUGAGUUAACAACUUGAGGUCAAAUGGCAAUGUGAUCAUGUUCCAAGCAUGUAGAAACAAUCAAUAGAUUAUAAAAAUAUAUAGAUACACAAUGGGGUCUGUAUACUGAAAAGAGAUAUCUCUGUGUAUCAGAAACAGAGAGGAGACCCAUGGUGCAAGGACUACUUAUUGGAAGCCAGACCUUGAAAUGAAUCAUCUCGUAGCCCAGAUAAAUGUGGAGGGACUGAGAAGACAUCCUGUUUCUGGAUUGUCAAAGCCGUAGGUGCCCCCAUGACACCUCACUCUGUUCAUUAAUAGGACCUAGAAUGCCACCCACCAGGCUAAGGAGAAGAUAGAAUCACCCAAUGGGAAUAAAAAUCCAUGUCAGACUGUCAGAUCAGCAGCCUGAUCUGCUACACGGUAAACCUGGGCUCUAGGCAACUUAAAAACUUUGUUCACUAGAGAAAAAUCUCUGGGAAAAUGCAGUGACUGAAAUGAAUUAAAACCAUGUGAGGAAAUUCAGUAACAGGAACGAGAGAUGAUGACCUCUUAACGAAUUCACAUCUAAGGAAAUAAUGAUAAUGAAACAAAUUGGAAGUACUUUAACAUAGAAACUUUAAAAUUUCUAUAGGAAGAAUAGUACCUAUGAAAUAAGAAAAAUACAAUCCACCAAAAAGUAAGAAAUUAUAAUUUUAAAAGUGUAAGUUUCUAUGCAAAAUAAUCUACUAGAAAUAUUAGUAAUGAAACAUACAGUUAAAAUAUUUUUAAAAGAAUAGAUGAAUUUUAAAGUCACUCCAAAAUAACUAAAGAAAGUUAUUAAACUAGAAACUAGAACCUAGGAUACCUGCAAUAAUGUACCACAAGGAAAAAAAAUCUAAAAGGAAAAUUGAUAUACUAAGAUUAGAAGUUCCAUUUCAUAUUUAAUAUUU
rnacentral:lncRNA from 1 species